CUCAGGAUGAACGCUGGCGGCGUGCUUAACACAUGCAAGUCGAACGAAGAUGCCGGAGUGCUUGCACUUUGGCAGACUGAGUGGCGGACGGUGAGUAACGCGUGGGUAACCUGCCUCACACAGGGGGAUAACAGUUGGAAACGGCUGCUAAUACCGCAUAAGCGCACAGUACCGCAUGGUACAGUGUGAAAAACUCCGGUGGUAUAAGAUGGACCCGCGUCUGAUUAGCUUGUUGGUGAGGUAACGGCCCACCAAGGCGACGAUCAGUAGCCGGCCUGAGAGGGUGAACGGCCACAUUGGGACUGAGACACGGCCCAAACUCCUACGGGAGGCAGCAGUGGGGAAUAUUGCACAAUGGGGGAAACCCUGAUGCAGCGACGCCGCGUGAGCGAAGAAGUAUUUCGGUAUGUAAAGCUCUAUCAGCAGGGAAGAAGAAAUGACGGUACCUGACUAAGAAGCACCGGCUAAAUACGUG
rnacentral:rRNA from 1 species